AUUGAACGCUGGCGGCAUGCCUUACACAUGCAAGUCGAACGGCAGCACGGGGCAACCUGGUGGCGAGUGGCGAACGGGUGAGUAAUGCAUCGGAACGUACCUUUCAGUGGGGGAUAACGUAGCGAAAGUUACGCUAAUACCGCAUAUUCUGUGAGCAGGAAAGCAGGGGAUCGCAAGACCUUGCGCUGAUUGAGCGGCCGAUGUCAGAUUAGCUAGUUGGUGAGGUAAAGGCUCACCAAGGCGACGAUCUGUAGCGGGUCUGAGAGGAUGAUCCGCCACACUGGAACUGAGACACGGUCCAGACUCCUACGGGAGGCAGCAGUGGGGAAUUUUGGACAAUGGGGGCAACCCUGAUCCAGCCAUGCCGCGUGAGUGAAGAAGGCCUUCGGGUUGUAAAGCUCUUUCGGCCGGGAAGAAAUCGCACGGGCUAAUACCCUGUGUGGAUGACGGUACCGGAAUAAGAAGCACCGGCUAACUACGUGCCAGCAGCAGCCGCGG
rnacentral:rRNA from 1 species